rnacentral:rRNA from 1 species
UACGUAGGGGCUAGCGUUGUCCGGAAUUAUUGGGCGUAAAGAGCGUGUAGGCGGUUCGGUAAGUCUGUCGUGAAAGCCCCGGGCUCAACCUGGGAAUGGCGAUGGAUACUGGCUCGCUAGAGUGCGGUAGAGGAGAGUGGAAUUCCCGGUGUAGCAGUGAAAUGCGUAGAGAUCGGGAGGAACAUCAGUUGCGAAGGCGGCUCUCUGGACCAGCACUGACACUGAGGCACGAAAGCGUGGGGAGCAAACAGGG